AUUGAACGCUGGCGGCAUGCCUUACACAUGCAAGUCGAACGGUAACAGGUCUACGGAUGCUGACGAGUGGCGAACGGGUGAGUAAUACAUCGGAACGUGCCCGAGAGUGGGGGAUAACGAGGCGAAAGCUUUGCUAAUACCGCAUACGAUCUCAGGAUGAAAGCUGGGGACCGCAAGGCCUUGCGCUCACGGAGCGGCCGAUGGCAGAUUAGGUAGUUGGCGGGAUAAAAGCUUACCAAGCCGACGAUCUGUAGCUGGUCUGAGAGGACGACCAGCCACACUGGGACUGAGACAAGGCCCAGACUCCUACGGGAGGCAGCAGUGGGGAAUUUUGGACAAUGGGCGCAAGCCUGAUCCAGCCAUGCCGCGUGCAGGAUGAAGGCCUUCGGGUUGUAAACUGCUUUUGUACGGAACGAAAAGACUCUGGUUAAUACCUGGGGUCCAUGACGGUACCGUAAGAAUAAGCACCGGCUAACUACGUGCCAGCCGCCGCCGUAA
rnacentral:rRNA from 1 species